rnacentral:rRNA from 1 species
CCUGUUGCUUCCGCUGGGCAGUGAUUUCGGUCACCUGCGAACCGAAAGGCGUGAGCCAUCCGGUCGUAGAGUCCUCGCGAAUGGUCUACAUCAAACUCUUGCAUUUCUAUGUCAUCUGUCUGAACCUGUUAAAUAACAAAUGUUAAAACUUUCAACAACGGAUCUCUUGGUUCUCGCAUCGAUGAAGAACGCAGCGAAAUGCGAUAAGUAGUGUGAAUUGCAGAAUUCAGUGAAUCAUCGAAUCUUUGAACGCACAUUGCGCCUCCUGGUAUUCCGGGAGGCAUGCCUGUUCGAGCGUCAUUAAAAACCACUCAAGCACUUUUGCUUGGUAUUGGGAGAUUUGGAGCGUACCCUGAUGCGUUCCCUCCCGAAAUUCAAAGGCGGAAAGCCCCAGGUGCCCCGGCGUAGUAAGUUUUCUUUCGCUCGGAACCAGAGGUGAUCCUGCCGUCCAACCCCCAAUCACUUUUUUCAGGUUGACCUCGGAUCAGGUAGGGAUACCCGCUGAACUUAAGCAUAUCAAUAAGCGGGAGGAANAGGAUCAUUAAAAGUAAUAUGUAUUCACUCGAAUAUACAUUAUAAACCCCCCUCUGUGUACCUUAUCCUGUUGCUUCCGCUGGGCAGUGAUUUCGGUCACCUGCGAACCGAAAGGCGUGAGCCAUCCGGUCGUAGAGUCCUCGCGAAUGGUCUACAUCAAACUCUUGCAUUUCUAUGUCAUCUGUCUGAACUGUUAAAUAACAAAUGUUAAAACUUUCACACGGAUCUCUUGGUUCUCGCAUCGAUGAAGAACGCACGAAUGCGAUAAGUAGUGUGAAUUGCANAAAUCGUGAAUCAUCGAAAUCUUGAACGCACAUUGCGCUCGGUAUUCGGGAGGCAUGCUGUUCGAGCAUCAUUAAAACACUCAGCCUUUUGCUUGGUAUUGGGAGANUUGGAGCGUACCUGAUG